GUAUACGAUCAUACCAGCACUAAUGCACCGGAUCCCAUCAGACCUCCAAAGUUAGCGUGCUUGGGCGAGAGUAGUAUUGCAUCACUUCAUUUUUUUUU
rnacentral:rRNA from 1 species